rnacentral:rRNA from 1 species
AUUGAACGCUAGCGGCAGGCCUAACACAUGCAAGUCGAGCGAGCGGCGGACGGGUGAGUAAUAUAUGGGAACGUGCCCAGUAGCGGGGGAUAACUACUGGAAACAGUGGCUAAUACCGCAUACUAUUGGAUGGACCCAUAUUGGAUUAGCUAGUUGGUGGGGUAAAGGCUCACCUAGGCGACGAUCCCUAGCUGGUCUGAGAGGACGAACAGCCACACUGGGACUGAGACACGGCCCAGACUCCUACGGGAGGCAGCAGUGGGGAAUAUUGGACAAUGGGCGCAAGCCUGAUGCAGCCAUGCCGCGUGUAUGAAGAAGGCCUUCGGGUUGUAAAGUACUUUCGGCGGGGAGGCGGUACCCGCAGAAUAAGCACCGGCUAACUCCGUGCCAGCAGCCGCGGUAAUUC